rnacentral:rRNA from 1 species
UCUUGAGAGCGGCGGACGGGUGAGUAAUGCCUAGGAAUCUGCCUGGUAGUGGGGGAUAACGUUCGGAAACGGACGCUAAUACCGCAUACGUCCUACGGGAGAAAGCAGGGGACCUUCGGGCCUUGCGCUAUCAGAUGAGCCUAGGUCGGAUUAGCUAGUUGGUGGGGUAAUGGCUCACCAAGGCGACGAUCCGUAACUGGUCUGAGAGGAUGAUCAGUCACACUGGAACUGAGACACGGUCCAGACUCCUACGGGAGGCAGCAGUGGGGAAUAUUGGACAAUGGGCGAAAGCCUGAUCCAGCCAUGCCGCGUGUGUGAAGAAGGUCUUCGGAUUGUAAAGCACUUUAAGUUGGGAGGAAGGGUUGUAGAUUAAUACUCUGCAAUUUUGACGUUACCGACAGAAUAAGCACCGGCUAACUCUGUGCCAGCAGCCGCGGUAAUACAGAGGGUGCAAGCGUUAAUCGGAAUUACUGGGCGUAAAGCGCGCGUAGGUGGUUUGUUAAGUUGGAUGUGAAAUCCCCGGGCUCAACCUGGGAACUGCAUUCAAAACUGACUGACUAGAGUAUGGUAGAGGGUGGUGGAAUUUCCUGUGUAGCGGUGAAAUGCGUAGAUAUAGGAAGGAACACCAGUGGCGAAGGCGACCACCUGGACUAAUACUGACACUGAGGUGCGAAAGCGUGGGGAGCAAACAGGAUUAGAUACCCUGGUAGUCCACGCCGUAAACGAUGUCAACUAGCCGUUGGAAGCCUUGAGCUUUUAGUGGCGCAGCUAACGCAUUAAGUUGACCGCCUGGG